GGCUGGGCCUGGGCCGGGGCCUGGGCCGGGGGGAGCUCCGAGACAGGCUUCGGGAAGCUGCAACCGCGCCGAGAGGUUUCUCAAAGGUAACAGAAUCCUGAUGGUCAGUGCUCCCUCUCCACCAUAAGGUCAUAGCUGCAAGGACCAGUUUCUGUAUCAUGUGGGUAACCAGAAAGCUGAUGUCCCAUUAUGGUCAGUGAAUUCAAAACCAUUCAGCAAACCUCCCUUGGCCAGUGUUUUGAACAUCAGUUAUUGCUCUUUUUUGAGUCUGCAGGAAGAUGCGGACACUUCUGUCAUAGAGGAUUCCGUUUUAGGUGCCUGGAGUCAACAUUCUGAUUCUGAUACCUGGACCUUUGUAAUGUAUUGCGGCAUGGUGUCAGGCUGAGACGUGGCCAGAGAAUACCACUUAUUGCUGUGCUGUCUUUCUAUUGUGUGUCUUUCCUCAUUGCUUCCUUAUCUCCUUCCCAAACCACCAAAAUGUUUAGAUAGUUGGAAGGUGAAAUUCACUUGCCGUUUCCUUGGCUGGGAUGGUAACUCUACAAAAGUGUAAAAUAAAGUUUGGCACAGUAAUAAGAAAAGGGAACAGUGCACAAUGGUAUUAUGUGCAAGCCUGUGGACAGAAAACAAAAUUGAUGAAUUUUCAAGGGCACUAACCAGUUUUUUCCCUCCUCAAUCUGUCAGGAACAAGUGCAACAGUAUUAGAGCUGUCAAGGAAUGGCCAGGCAAACAAGGAGAUCACUCAUCAGUGUCAGUGACAAGAUUCUGAAUUUGAUGGCAAAGCAACAGGACGAAUAAGGAUGACUUGAUAAUGGAAGUGCAUAAGCAGCACUUCAGGCAAUCAGAAAAGCACAUGGGAAUGACAAUGAGCUGCUGUCAGUAUAUCUCCUCCGUGUUGAUGAGAGGGAGGAAGACCUGAAGGCUCAUAAUGACAAGGUUGAGAAGUGUUCCAGGCUAUGAGCUGCACAGAAUCAAAUCCCUAGGAAAUAUAAAGGCCACAAAAUCAUCUUGAUGGUACCUACAUACUUAAAAAGAAACAAACAAAAAACAUCAGUACUUAGAACAGUUCCUGGAAGGAGAAAACACAUGGACCCUAGGCCACCACAUUGGCAGCAGUAUGGAUGUCAAGGUUCAGCUAAUCUUUAGAAUUCCUGGAGCAAAUUCACUGGCUUGUACUGACCCUACCUUUAAUGUUUAUCUUACUUGGAUACAGUACGUAUAAAUGUAAUAAAAUCAUUUUAGCAUUAGAAAAUUUUCCUAAGUGAAGAGAUUCUGUGAUUCUGAUUUAAAGGAAGCAACUUAAAGAUCUUCUGAUUCUAUGGACUGUUUA